rnacentral:rRNA from 1 species
UUGCACGCUGGCGGCAGGCCUAACCCAUGCAAGUCGCGCGGAUGAAGGGAGCUUGCUCCUGGAUUCAGCGGCGGACGGGUGAGUAAUGCCUAGGAAUCUGCCUGGUAGUGGGGGAUAACGUCCGGAAACGGGCGCUAAUACCGCAUACGUCCUGAGGGAGAAAGUGGGGGAUCUUCGGACCUCACGCUCUCAGAUGAGCCUAGGUCGGAUUAGCUAGUUGGUGGGGUAAAGGCCUACCAAGGCGACGAUCCGUAACUGGUCUGAGAGGAUGAUCAGUCACACUGGAACUGAGACACGGUCCAGACUCCUACGGGAGGCAGCAGUGGGGAAUAUUGGACAAUGGGCGAAAGCCUGAUCCAGCCAUGCCGCGUGUGUGAAGAAGGUCUUCGGAUUGUAAAGCACUUUAAGUUGGGAGGAAGGGCAGUAAGUUAAUACCUUGCUGUUUUGACGUUACCAACAGAAUAAGCACCGGCUAACUUCGUG